rnacentral:rRNA from 1 species
UACGUAGGGUGCGAGCGUUGUCCGGAAUUACUGGGCGUAAAGAGCUCGUAGGCGGUUCGUCGCGUCGGCUGUGAAAUCCCGAGGCUCAACCUCGGGUCUGCAGUCGAUACGGGCGGACUGGAGUUCGGCAGGGGAGACUGGAAUUCCUGGUGUAGCGGUGAAAUGCGCAGAUAUCAGGAGGAACACCGGUGGCGAAGGCGGCUCUCUGGGCCUUACCUGACGCUGAGGAGCGAAAGCGUGGGUAGCGAACAGG